GAUGAACGCUAGCGGCAGGCUUAACACAUGCAAGUCGAGGGGUAGGAGCAGCUUGCUGCUUUGAGACCGGCGCACGGGUGCGUAACGCGUAUACAAUCUACCUUUUACAGAGGGAUAGCCCAGAGAAAUUUGGAUUAAUACCUCAUAGUAUUUUCAGAUCGCAUGAUUUGAUUAUUAAAGUUCCAACGGUAAAAGAUGAGUAUGCGUCCCAUUAGCUAGUUGGUAAGGUAACGGCUUACCAAGGCAACGAUGGGUAGGGGUCCUGAGAGGGAGAUCCCCCACACUGGUACUGAGACACGGACCAGACUCCUACGGGAGGCAGCAGUGAGGAAUAUUGGACAAUGGGCGCAAGCCUGAUCCAGCCAUGCCGCGUGCAGGAUGACGGUCCUAUGGAUUGUAAACUGCUUUUGUACAGGAAGAAACACUGGUUCGUGAACCAGCUUGACGGUACUGUAAGAAUAAGGAUCGGCUAACUCCGUGCCAACAGCCG
rnacentral:rRNA from 1 species